rnacentral:rRNA from 1 species
UACAUGGGGUGCAAACGUUGCUCGGAAUUAUUGGGCGUAAAGCGCACGUAGGUGGCCUGUUAUGUCAGAUGUGAAAGCCCUCGGCUUAACUGAGGAAGUGCACCUGAAACUGGCAGGCUUGAGUACGAAAGAGGGUCGCUGGAAUUCCCGGUGUGAGCCGGUGAAAUGCGUAGAGAUCGGGAGGAAUACCGGUGGCGAAAGCGAACUCUCUGGACGGCAACUGACGGCUGAGGCACGAAAGCGUGGGGAGCAAACAGG